UGCCAUCGUAUUUGCAAAAAAACCCCACGGGCAAUUUUCCAUUAACCCCCUCCCGCACCUGCGAACCCUAAACCCCCUCGCUCGCUCUCCUCCCCGAGUCCCGGCUCCCCGCCGCCCUUCUCCCUCCCUCCUGCUCCCCGCCGCCGCCUCACUCUCUCUCCCUCUCUGCUCUCUGCCUCCCCGCCGCCGCCUCCCCCCUCCCGAAAUCCCCGUCCCAUCCAUCCACACCCUAGCUGCCAGUCUUCGCAUCUCUCUCAUCGGCGGCGGCGGUGUCCCCUCCCCUCCUCUCCUCCCCGCAAGAUCCGGUGUGCAGCACCAUGGAUGCCGGCGUGAGGAGCAGAGGGAUCUGGCGUGGUGGGGCCGCCGUGGCCUCGGCCGUCCGGCCAUGGGUGCUUGACCCUGUGGCCGCCGCCGCCGCUUCCGGGUUCCGGAUGGAGGCGUUCCUCCGACGGCGCCAUGGGGAAGACCUACAUGCUCAUCUGCUGCCCCUGCAAGUUCCCCACGAACAAAGAAUCCUUGCCAUUAAUCAAGAUAUGUAACUACCUGAAGCUCAUCAGAAAGCACUUUGUUUUGAUGAUAGAAGGAAAACAGAGAUGGAGAAGAAGAGAAAAUGAACUACUGUGCUUAGCUAAGGUGGUUAUAUAUAUGGACAGAGCUCACAGCUUCAGCUUACCUAAGUAGAUUGACCGUGACCACAAAUCCUAACUUUAAUCCUAAGAGCUACACAAUCUAAAAAACGAGGUAUAGUUUUCUGGACUAUCUUUUGUUACAUACAUAUACACAGCCUGCGCUUUGCCUUUGUGUAUUUGAUCAGGUUUACUCAAACAAUGUUCCUACCACGCAUCGCCUCUACUAUUAUUGUCUCGACCUUGGUUCUAUCACAAUGGACAAAAUAAAAUUGGUGUUAAUCAAAUACAUGCUAUAUCAACCACUGCUACACUAGAUACAUAAUGCAAGCAUAAUGGAUGUAUUUGAAAAUUUGUAGCUAAGCUGAUCAACAUUUCUCAAGAGUUGAAAAGCUUCAGUUGCAUGAUCAACAUUUCCCAGGUUGACAGUGCUCCCUCGAUGAAGGGCGUGUGGUUUUCUAUGUGCUUUUGCAGGAUUACAUCCCCACUGUCUUCAGUGCCAAUGUCUCGGUGGAUGGGAGCACUGUCAACUCGGGCCUCUGGGACACAGCAGGAGGACCACAGCAGAUUGAGGCCUCUUUGCUAUAGGGGGCGUGCAUCGCGCCUAAUGUUCUAGUAAGAUUGAAAGCUGCUGGCAUCCUGGACGUCCUCCACUCACCUCUCCAUUCUAAUACAAGCUAAGUUACAAGUGUAUAUAUGGUCUGUUUUAUAGUGUGAGAUUACUUGUGAUGUUGAGAUUGCUUGUGAUGUUGAGAAAGGAACACUUUAUGCUUUAUAUGUUGCGAUGAGAAUGUUCUCUCCCCCCAAGCUCCCAAACUGAGAAAGGAACACUUUAUGCUUUA